AUGCAACGCAGGACAGCAGCCCCUGCGGCCAGCAGCAACCCCCCAGCGCGCUCUCAUCAAAGCCAUCCCGAUGCCGCUGCUUCGUUGACAAAUUCUGCCGGGGAGCUCACGCUACCCAACGGCGACCUCUACUCCGGCACGCUGUCGGGGGGAGUACCGGAGGGCACGGGGCGGUGCGUCUGGUCAGGCAGCGGCUGCGUGUACGAGGGCGGGUGGAGGCGAGGGAUGAGACACGGCAUUGGAAGGACGGAGUGGCCGUCGGGGGCCGUCUACGAAGGCGAAUACUCCGGCGGCUUCAUGGACGGCGAAGGAACACACGUGGCCGCCGGCUCCUCCUCCUCGUCCUCUUACAAGGGUCAGUGGAAGCUGGACCGCAAGCACGGCCUCGGGCUCCAGGCGCACGCCAAUGGCGACGUGUACCAGGGCGCCUGGGUCCAGGGCCAGAUGGAAGGCCAGGGCAGGUACACGUGGGCCAACGGCAACAACUACGUCGGCACCAUGAGGAACGGCCUCAUGUCCGGCAAAGGUGUCCUCACGUGGAGCACCGGGGACUCGUUCCAGGGGAACUGGGUCGCCGGCGUGGCGCACGGCUACGGGCUGUACACCUGGGAGGGCGGCGGGUGCUACCUCGGCACCUGGAGCAGGGGGCUCAAGGACGGGAAAGGCACCUUCUACCCUGAGCGCCGCAGGGUUCCCGCCGCUCGCCUCGACGACCUGAGGAAGAGGGGCGUGCUGCCCGACGUCUCCUUCGGCGCCGGCGCGGACCCAGAGCCCGCGGAGGCGGAUGCGAGUUUGUCCAGGAGGAACUCAGGCCUCGGGCGGCCUCCGAUGAAGAAGCGGCCGUCCCUGCAGAGACGCCGGAGUAUCGGCGCGGCCAUCGGAGUGGCCGUCGGGGUGGUCACCGGAGGUCCUGCAGGUCCUGGGAAAACGCUGAAAUGUGAAGACACGGCUGGUUCCCUCUCCCAGAUACUCGAGAGGGAGUACGCGCAGGGCGUCCUGAUCAGCGAGGUCGUGCUGGAUAAGAGCCUCCCGGAUUCGCCGUCGUCCAAGAAACCGAGACUUGGACGGAGCAGGAAGGUGAAGGAUGCCAAAAGGCCUGGAGAGACGAUAAUUAAAGGGCACCGGAGCUACGAUCUGAUGCUCUGUCUGCAACUUGGAAUCAGGUACACAGUUGGGAGGAUUACUCCGAUUCAGGAGCGUGAAGUGCGAGCUUCUGAUUUUGGCCCCAAAGCAAAUUUCUGGAUGAACUUCCCCAAAAACGGAUCACCGCUUACUCCUUCACAUCGUGCUCUAGAUUUCAAGUGGAAGGACUACUGCCCAAUGGUUUUCAGAAAUUUGAGGGAGAUGUUCAAGAUUGAUACAGCAGAUUACAUGAUUUCCAUUAGUGGAAGUGAUGCACUUAGGGAGCUAUCUUCUCCUGGAAAGAGCGGGAGUAUUUUUUUCUCAUCACAAGAUGACCAGUUUAUGAUCAAGACUCUUCGGAAAUCAGAAGUGCAGGUUCUUCUGCGUAUGCUUCCAUACUAUUAUCGUCAUGUCCAUACCUAUGAGAAUACACUUGUAACUAAAUUUUUUGGCCUCCACAGGGUGAGACCUUCCAGCGGUCAAAAGUUUCGAUUUGUAGUGAUGGGCAACAUGUUCUGCACAGAACUUAGAAUUCAUCGAAGAUUUGAUUUGAAAGGUUCGUCUUUGGGCCGUUCUACGGAGAAAAUUAAAAUCGACGAGAACACAACGCUGAAAGAUUUGGAUCUGAACUAUUCAUUUUAUCUCGAGCCUUCUUGGCGGGAUGCUUUGCUUAAGCAGAUUGAAAUCGAUAGCGAAUUUCUAAGGAACCACAGUAUAAUGGAUUACAGUUUGCUUCUUGGUUUCCAUUACCGGGCUCGUCGAAACCUACAAAUAGGAUCAUCAUGUCCUGAAAGCAUUUUGCCAGAUAAACUAACCAUUCUUUCGGAAGCAGAUGCCGCGGAGGAGGAUUCCGCUUAUAAUUAUCGAGGCGGGCUGAUUUUGGUGCAGCGAGGCAGUGACAAAAAUGGUUCAGAUGCUGUUGGCCCGCACGUAAGGGGGAGCCGCCUGCGUGCGCCGUCGGGUUGUUUCGAGGAAGUAGAUCUUCUGAUUCCAGGCACAGGAAGGCUCCCCAUCCAGCUAGGGGUCAACAUGCCGGCGAGAGCGGAGAAAGAAGAGAAACAAGAAGAAGGCAGCAAAUCACUCCAUCACAUGUAUGAUGUGGUGCUCUACAUAGGGAUCAUUGAUAUUCUGCAGAAGUACAACAUGACAAAGAAGAUUGAGCAUGCAUACAAGUCCAUCAAGUAUAAGUAUAACCCCUUGUCAAUAUCUGCAGUUGAACCUCAAUUCUACUCGGAGCGUUUCCUCAAGUUUGUCGGGACCGCCUUCCCACAAAACUCAUCUAAUCAAUAA
rnacentral:rRNA from 1 species